rnacentral:rRNA from 1 species
GACGAACGCUGGCGGCGUGCUUAACACAUGCAAGUCGAACGGAAAGGCCCUGCUUGCAGGGUCCUCGAGUGGCGAACGGGUGAGUAACACGUGGGUGAUCUGCCCUGCACUUCGGGAUAAGCCUGGGAAACUGGGUCUAAUACCGGAUAGGAGCCAUUUUUAGUGUGAUGGUUGGAAAGUUUUUUCGGUGUAGGAUGAGCUCGCGGCCUAUCAGCUUGUUGGUGGGGUAAUGGCCUACCAAGGCGGCGACGGGUAGCCGGCCUGAGAGGGUGGACGGCCACAUUGGGACUGAGAGACGGCCCAGACUCCUACGGGAGGCAGCAGUGGGGAAUAUUGCACAAUGGGCGCAAGCCUGAUGCAGCGACGCCGCGUGGGGGAUGACGGCCUUCGGGUUGUAAACUCCUUUCGCUAGGGACGAAGCUUUUUGUGACGGUACCUAGAGAAGAAGCACCGGCUAACUACGUG